UACGUAGGGGGCAAGCGUUGUCCGGAAUUACUGGGCGUAAAGCGUGCGCAGGCGGUUCGCUAAGACCGAUGUGAAAUCCCCGGGCUUAACCUGGGAACUGCAUUGGUGACUGGCGGGCUAGAGUAUGGCAGAGGGGGGUAGAAUUCCACGUGUAGCAGUGAAAUGCGUAGAGAUGUGGAGGAAUACCGAUGGCGAAGGCAGCCCCCUGGGCCAAUACUGACGCUCAUGCACGAAAGCGUGGGGAGCAAACAGG
rnacentral:rRNA from 1 species